UUUCCCUUUCCCGACAAAAAAGUAGGCCAAACCCCCUUCUUUUGUUUUGCUUCAAUUGGCCAACACACACUUCGACGUCGGUCAGAUAGUGACCGACACAUCUUUUUUUUCCUUCUUAUCCGGCGAUCCCCAACGCGUGACUCCAGCGAAGAACAACGAGCGACGACGGUGCCUCCCUCAUUUGACAACUGCAACCACGAUGCCGCAACCUACCUGCACGCAAACAGAACGUAGGACCUUGAGCUCUGACCAACCCACGAUGUUCGCACCCUUCGACGACGUUGUAGCAGCACUCUUUUUUUUUUUCCUAUUUUGACAAUGUUUGACACCUACCCAUUCCUUUUUGACAUCGAGAUUGAAAUAUCCACUUCCUAACGACUCUGAAUUUGUAGAAUUAAGUCUACUCGGAUACCAAUCAGCAAGGAUUCAGGCUCUUUUAGAUUCGAAAUAGUUUCGGGGCUAUUUGAACACAUUUCAACAAGAGCCCAAAUCUUUUUGGUGAGUUUUAGGUUCUAGAACUUUAUUUAAAGCCUUUCAAAUUAAAUUUAGAUGAUGUAAAUUAGUCAAUAAUUCUUAAGUACUCUUUUAAUGCGAUUUACGCUUGAUGCGAAGUGUUCAAAUUGAGGUUUAAGGUCGAUUUGAGUAAGUUUUCUUGUUUCAAACACUAUUUGAGCUUUCGACUAGGGAUUUGAACAAAGUUGUAACUUUGGAGUCUUGUUUCUAUUAUUUCGGGAACUUUUUGAUUAGUUAGAAACAUUGUGAUGCUUAGGUAAAUAGAAUUCUACCUGUUAGGUCUGUUUGCUUGUGUGUUAGCAUGUUGUGUGAUUUAUUUAUGUUACAUACAUGUAUAAAUAUGACAUGAUAUUCUGAAAUCUGUGAUAUGUUUCUAAUAUGGUUGGACAUGCUUGGAUGCUUGUAGUGUUGUUUUGAAUAUGUAUAUCAUGUUGACAUACUAUUAUGUGGCUCUAUUGAUAUAACUAUGUUACGAGAUGUUUGAAUGUGUACAUAGUGAAUGUUAUGAGCAUAUUAUUUUAUGUAAAUUUUGGCAUAAGACAUGAUUUAGAAGUAUGUAUAGGACUUAUACAAUAUGGUGAGUUAGUGUAGUAAAUAGAUUGAGAACUGUGCUCAUAAAGGAAAAUUGGAUGAGAAGUGAUGUAACCAUUGGAUUUAGAAAAGUGUUGGGCCUUGAUUAUGGUUAAGGAUUGACAAGAGGUUCGAGGCCUUAGGUACGGCCAAGGGUCAAACAUUAAGUAUAGUAACGUCAAGACCUUAAGUACGAUUAAGUGUUGACGAGUAGUUUGAGGCCUUAGGUAUGGCUAAGGGUCAGACAUUAAGUGUUGUAGAGAAAGUUGAGGCCUUAAGUACGGUUAAGGGUCAACAAGUAGUUCGAGGCCUUAGGUAUUGCUAAGGGUUGGACAUCGAGUGUUGUAUAGAAUGUCAAGGCCUUAAGUAUGUUUAAGGGUCGAUGAGAUGUUUGAGCCUUAUAUAAGGCUGAGGGCGAAUGUUGAGUGCUAUAGAGGACAUCGUGGCCUUGAGUAUGGUUAAGGGACAAUGUACAGUUCAAGGUCUCAGGUACGGCUAAGGGUUGAACGAUGAGCACCAUAAAAAGCAAUAGGAUCCUAAAUAUGGUCAAGGGUCAACAUGUCUGGAGGAUUUCAUUUCGAAAGUUGCAACGUCAGGUUGGGUUGUUGAGCGUGAAUGAAGAGUCUGGUUUAAAAUUAUGUAUGCUUUGUAUAUAAUGAUAUAAUUCACGAGUUUAGCAUGAUGUGAUCGAUAUUAUUGUUGAUGUGUAUAAUUCAUUCUCAAGGAUUUCAUUUAGAAAGUUGUGACGUUAGGUUGGGGGGUUUAGCAUGAAUGAAGAGUUCGAUUUAAAAUUAUGUAUGCUUUGUAUAUAAUGAAAUAAUUCAUGAGUUUAGCAUGAUGUGACCGAUAUUACUGUUGAUGUGUAUCUUUGAAAUGUAUGUAUGCUAUUUGGUAGCCCUUCAGGUAUGGGCUAUUUACCAGUACAGUGUACUGACCCUCCACUAGGUUUUGUAAGUAUCGACGAGCAUUGCAACCUUGGUGAUGUGGAGGAGGAAGACUGAAAAAAAUUAGGAUUAUGUCAUUUUUGGUUUAUUUUCGAUAUGAGUUUGUUUCUAGCUUGUGGAACUUGCUAUAGUUUCAAGUUGUUUUAGGUUGUUGGAGUUGAGAACUUCUAAUAGGUCUUGGCUGGUUUAUUAUGUUUGAAUUUUAUAUAAGUUUAAAUUUUUUUAGUUUGGUAAGUUUUCCUAAAUCUUAUUAAGUAGUUAUUUGAGCAUUUUUGUUCUGGAAAUUGGGGCAAUUCUGUUGAGGACAUAUUGUCUUAAAUAUCAUUGGGAGUGGAUUCUUUUGAAACAGGUGCCGAUAAAAAUUUAGUUAUGUUAUGGUAGCAUUGUUGUGCUGCUAAAUUUUUUUUUCCUAAAAUAUAAGUGAGUUUAUGUUAAAUUUAGAUAAUGAUCCCUAGUUUAUUACUGAAAAUUUAGGGACACUAUAGAAGAUGUCUUCCAUAGCUAGCUUGUCAAUCAAUCUAUUAAAUUGUUUUUUUUUAAGGUCUUUAGUUGGCACAUUAACAAUUUGCUUUGAUGUAAAAAGAUAAGGAAUACAUAUUGUUCCUGCUUCAAUCUUCUCUUUAAUAAAAUGUUUAUCAUCCUCGAUAUGCUUAGUUCCAUCAUGUAGAAUUGGAUUAUGGGCAAUAGGAAUGGCAACUUUAUU